GAUGAACGCUAGCGGCGUGCCUAAUGCAUGCAAGUCGAACGAGAACCUUCGGAUUCGUCUGAAGGGGGCAGUGGCGGACGGGUGAGUAACACGUUGGUGACCUGCCCUAGAGAGGGGGACAACCAUUGGAAACGAUGGCUAAUACCGCAUAUGUCAAUACGGUUAGAGAGUAUUGACGAAAGGAGAAAUCCACUCUAGGAGGGGCCAGCGUCCCAUCAGCUAGUUGGUAAGGUAACGGCUUACCAAGGCGAAGACGGGUAGGGGGCGUGAGAGCGCGAUCCCCCACACUGGUACUGACACACGGACCAGAUACCUACGGGUAGCAGCAGCAAGGAAUAUUGCACAAUGGGCGAAAGCCUGAUGCAGCAACGCCGCGUGAAGGAUGAAGGCUUUCGGGUUGUAAACUUCUUUUCUGGGAGAAGAGAAAGGACGGUAUCCCAGGAAUAAGGUCCGGCUAACUACG
rnacentral:rRNA from 1 species